ACAAUAGCUAAACCAACAAAAGUAAAUCAAGAGAAAUCAUAAGAAAUAUAGCUACUGUUCAGGACUCAAAAUCGGAUAUUGUGAAGCUCCUAAUCCAAUCUUCACCAUUCAAUCAAACACCAAGAUGCUAGAAACACUCAGUCAAAAUUUCAGCUCGAUCUAAUUAUGAACGAGUUGGCAAACAUGAUCUGAAGUUGACUAGUCGUAAAGAAAAACUGUAGCAACUAAACUCUCUUUCUCUCUUCUCUCUUUGGUGAAAGCUCUCUCAAAAUCUCUCUUAUGUGCUAAUGUCUCUCAAAGACAAACACCAAUGAGAAUGAAUAAUUCUUUCUCAAAUAGUCCUAUUUAUAGAUGAUGGUUAGUUCUUUUCCUAAAGCCAAACCAACCCCAAAUAGGAAUAAAAUCUGAUUCAUUUUUCAAAUAGGAUUGGGAAACAAAAGAGAAUAGGAUUAUUCCAUGGGCCACG
rnacentral:lncRNA from 1 species